GAUGAACGCUGACAGAAUGCUUAACACAUGCAAGUCUACUUGAUCCUUCGGGUGAUGGUGGCGGACGGGUGAGUAACGCGUAAAGAACUUGCCCUGCAGUCUGGGACAACAUUUGGAAACGAAUGCUAAUACCGGAUAUUAUGUGAGUUUCGCAUGAAAUUCAUAUGAAAGCUAUAUGCGCUGCAGGAGAGCUUUGCGUCCUAUUAGCUAGUUGGUGAGGUAACGGCUCACCAAGGCGAUGAUAGGUAGCCGGCCUGAGAGGGUGAACGGCCACAAGGGGACUGAGACACGGCCCUUACUCCUACGGGAGGCAGCAGUGGGGAAUAUUGGACAAUGGACCAAAAGUCUGAUCCAGCAAUUCUGUGUGCACGAUGAAGUUUUUCGGAAUGUAAAGUGCUUUCAGUUGGGACGAAGUAAGUGACGGUACCAACAGAAGAAGCGACGGCUAAAUAUGUGCCAGCAGCCGCGGUAAUACGUAUGUCGCAAGCGUUAUCCGGAUUUAUUGGGCGUAAAGCGCGUCUAGGCGGUUUGGUAAGUCUGAUGUGAAAAUGCGGGGCUCAACUCCGUAUUGCGUUGGAAACUGCCAAACUAGAGUACUGGAGAGGUGGGCGGAACUACAAGUGUAGAGGUGAAAUUCGUAGAUAUUUGUAGGAAUGCCGAUGGGGAAGCCAGCCCACUGGACAGAUACUGACGCUAAAGCGCGAAAGCGUGGGUAGCAAACAGG
rnacentral:rRNA from 1 species